rnacentral:rRNA from 1 species
UUCGACGCAAACGCGAAGAACCUUACCAGGGCUUGACAUCCCCUGACCGCGUAUGAAAGUACGUUUUCACCUCGGGUGACAGGGAGACAGGUGGUGCAUGGUUGUCGUCAGCUCGUGUCGUGAGAUGUUGGGUUAAGUCCCGCAACGAGCGCAACCCCUACGUUUAGUUGCUAACGCGUGAAGGCAGCACUCUAGACGAACUGCCGUUGACAAAACGGAGGAAGGUGGGAUGACGUCAAAUCAUCAUGCCCCUUAUGUUCUGGGCUACACACGUGCUACAAUGGCCGGUACAGACGGACGCAAAGCCGCGAGGUGGAGCAAAUCCUAAAAAGCCGGUCUCAGUUCGGAUUGCAGGCUGCAAUUCGCCUGCAUGAAGUCGGAAUCGCUAGUAAUCGCAGGUCAGCAUACUGCGGUGAAUACGUUCCCGGGCCUU